rnacentral:RNase_P_RNA from 1 species
AGCCUUGGUCGAGUGAUCGCCUUUUAGAAAAACGGUAACGUUUCCUAAGGGGAGGAAAGUCCGGACACUAGGGGACAAUCGGACCGAGUAAUCCUCGGGGUGAAACGGGGAGACCUGUUUUAUACGGAAAGUGCAACAGAAAGCAAACCGCCGAAACUAUUUUAGUUGGUAAGGGUGAAAGGGUGGGGUAAGAGCCUACCGCUUGUUUUGUAAAAAACAAGGCAUGGUAAACCCUCCGAUGUGCAAUCUCAAGUAAACAACCGUUAUGAGCCUGUCCCGCCAGGUUGUGGGUAGAGAGCAUUAGAUAAAUGAUCACAUAGAACAGAAUCCGGCUUACGGGCCAAGGCUACUU